rnacentral:rRNA from 1 species
CCUACGGGUGGCUGCAGUGAGGAAUAUUGGUCAAUGGACGAGAGUCUGAACCAGCCAAGUAGCGUGAAGGAUGACUGCCCUAUGGGUUGUCAACUUCUUUUAUAUGGGAAUAAAACGUUCCACGUGUGGGCUUUUGUAUGUACCAUAUGAAUAAGUAUCGGCUAACUCCGUGCCAGCAGCCGCGGUAAUACGGAGGAUCCGAGCGUUAUCCGGAUUUAUUGGGUUUAAAGGGAGCGUAGGUGGAUUGUUAAGUCAGUUGUGAAAGUUUGCGGCUCAACCGUAAAAUUGCAGUUGAAACUGGCAGUCUGGAGUACAGUAGAGGUGGGCGGAAUGCGUGGUGUAGCGGUGAAAUGCUUAGAUAUCACGAAGAACUCCGAUUGCGAAGGCAGUACACUGGACUGCAACUGACACUGAGGCUCGAAAGUGUGGGUAUCAAACAGGAUUAGAUACCCCUGUAGUC